GAGAAAUUAGCUUUUGUAGAUGGAGUGCUUACCACAAAUGUGCAUCUAUAGGGAAGCCUUUUGUGCUCACUUUUGCAUCUUCUCUUCUUCUGGCACUAGAGAGGCUGUAAUUUGUUUGAUGAUUCUUGCUAGUCACUUUACUUGUGCCACUGCUGGAAAAUUUCAGGCCAAGGAUACCAAUAGACAUAAUUGAGUCCAAAUGUGCAUCCAUCAUGAAAUGCAGAUUUUUCGAAGUAGAGUAUAAGACCAUGGUUGAAUACUGCCUGUGCAUAAAAGGUUCUGCUGCCCUUACCCUCAUGUUCCUGGUACUAAUAAAUUCAUAUCAUCACUGUUUACUGUCGUUAUGCUGCAAUUUAUUGAAUCAUAAUGUGUCAUUGCUUAUUCUAAAUAUAGUAUAUAGCAUGACCAGAUUGCAAUAAUCAGACAGAGUGUUGAGGCCCUGUUCCAAUUCACAUAAAAAACACAUGAUGGAAAGAGUGGUGUUCCCUCAAUUGAUGAAUCUGCUUAUAUCCUUAAACAUAAUUCUGCAAAAAAGCAGGUGCUUACUGUGAAAUUAUGAUGGACGACAGAACUGAGUGGUGGUUAGGAUGUAGAGAAGGGUGUGAGGAAAUAGUGGAGAGAGCAUGGGAAGAGUCUUGGAGCAUUACAUGGGUUUAGUUAUUCUAGAUUGUUUGUUUUUUAUUUUUUGAGGAAAAAAACUAUUUUUCUUUGUCCUUUUAGAGAAGUACUGGUUUGCUUAGUGGGAUUUAGGUAGUCAUUUAUUAUUUUAUUUGUUCUGCAUAUGGUGCUAGAUAUGGUAGCAUAUACCUCAUAUUGUGUGACAAUAUGUGAAGAUACUGAACAUUGGUUCAUUCUACCUCUACUACAAAUAGUCUGUCUGAUUUUAAUUUUUGUUUCUGAGCAUGUGAUGGUCUGAUUUUUUGGUUUUUCUCUUGUGACUCUAAUGGAAGUCACAAGACCUGUCAUCCUUAAGUGCACUUUCCUGCUUUUUCUAAUUUAGUUCUCCGUAACUGUAUACAUUGACUUAUGUAAAUCUUGCAGUCUUUUCCAACCUAGCUCCUCCAAUUUCAGGGUCAAUUAGUCAUAAAGAGAAAUUUUAGUCAGGUAAGGUUUUCUUGACCUAUUUAUUUAGUAAGAUGAGACCAAAUAGUGUGAAGUUGCUAUAUAACCAGGUUGCUUUUCUGAGUAAGAAACUGAAGUAUUUCCUCUUGUCAGAGUUGAUCAAAUUUUUGAAAUUGUUACUAGUUAGCUAUACUUCUUUAUGUGCAUGUGUAAUAUUUUGUAGAUUACAUGAAGAAGCAUCAAAAAUCUGGAGAGAAGCUUUUCGACAUCUAAGAUUUGGUUAAUAUUGGUAGAAUUGAGGUGCCAAAAGCUUAGCUUUAUUGUCAUCAUGUUGUGCAAAGUUUACUAUGCAUUUCUUUUAACAGCACAUUUUAUUGCUGCAAUCAGUAUAGGAAUUUAAACUUGCACACAUUUUGUGAAAUGAUAAUUAACUAUGCAGAUGCCAUUAUUACAUAUCCAGAGAGCUUUGCAAAGCAGUUUAUAUUAUUGAUACCAAGAACAGUGUUCACUUUUAAGUAUCCAGUGGAGCAAUGCUAUACUCAAAAUUGAUGAAGCCCACAACCUGCUAAAAGAAAAGAAAAACUAUUCCUAUGGACUUAGAUUUAGGCUUUAUUAAUCAUAAAAUAUGGAGGAUUUAAUUUGAGCUUUUAGAUUUUUGGCAGAAGUACUGAAGCAUGUUAAAUUUCAAAAAUUAGGAAAAUUGUUCCUUGUGCAGUCAUAACUUGACCUUACCCUUUUUUAUCAUCCUGUGCUCGUGUUUCUUCAUGGACUAUGUAAUGUUUAGAUUUUUUAUUUUCUUGUUUUCUUGCACAACCCCUGUUAUCUUACUUAUUCUCUUCACAUGACAUGUAGGAAGAGCAUAGGCACAGAUGCAGCUUCAUUUGACUUGCAAUCUGGUAAUCUGACUACUUGCAUAGCUGAAGCAAAACAACUUGACCUUUCCAUUGCCGGGAGGCAGUAAAAAAUCGACUGAAACAUCUAGAUUCAGAUAGUUAUGCUGUUUUAGAAGGAAUUGUAAGGCAUACCAUGACUUUCCAUAAUUUUUUAUUUGUAAUUUGUUGGGCUAAUGAUAUCUUCUGUUUUCCAAGUCAUGAGUCAUUGAUAGCUUAUUUAAAUACUCUCUGUACUCAUUCCGGAAACUUGGGUUUCUGUUUGGGUCAAACAAUGAAAGAAAUCAUGAGAAUUGUUGGUCUAUUUUGCAACUUGAGGAGAUGCUUAUUAAAAACCAAGUCUUUUCACAGGUAACAUUUGCAGAAAGAGGCUUAGUAGGUUCUGAUUUUUUGCGGGAAUAUAUUAAUGGUGUUAUCCAUUAAUUCUACUUAAUUAUGAAUUUUUGUUUGACUUGAAUUCUGUCUAUCGAGAACUGAAAUUCUUGGAUACAACUUUUGUCCUCCUCUGUUAGAUUUAUAUCUCAGAUAUUCAGAAUAUAUCAUUUUAUUGUUUAAUCAUUAUUGCAAGCUACCAUGCCUUAUAUAAAAUAAAAAAAAAAUGGUAGCUGAAUAUCAUUUUUUCUGUCCACUUAUUUUGUGCUCCUUUAGAUCUCAUUCUGUUUCUGCUUCGGCUGAAUUUUUAUUCUUUUGAGAUGGAUUUAUUUGCCUAUAUCAAACCUCUAUUUAUCCCCUCAUCUGAAAUCAUUAGAAGCCACAGGAACUUCAGAGGGUUGCUCCCUGUUUACAUGAAGUUUAGCAACUGACAAGGUAUGUUUCUACUGGUCAGUCUUUUGAGCAUAAUGAAGUGUUCCUAUCUUGACCUAAAAUGGCUUUGCCAGGAAUUCAACACCGUUUUGUUAAAUGUCAGAAGAGAGAUCAGAAUCUUAUCUUAUAACCUUCUCAAAUUCUUGUGAGUCGCGCUUUUAUCCAAAUAAGGCUUGAAGAAUUAAAAUAAAGAACUGUUUUGUUCUCUGUUUAACUACUGUUUUUAAUGACAGUGGCCAAGCUUCAAAAUUUGAUGAAGAUAGCUUCCAUUAAAUCAGUUAUUCAUAAAUCUAAUUUCUCGAAAGUCAAUAAAAUUUCCUUUUCAUGUUGUUUUUAAUAGAGAAAAUGAGGUAUAUUUUGAUAGAUAAAAACUCUUAAAUAUUUGAUUAGUCUAUACUUGGUGAAACUGAGAAUGAUGUUGUUAAAGAGUUGGUUACAGUACAUACGGAUAAAUGUGAAGACAAUAAGAAUGCAGACAGUUAUGAAUUAUGCAACUUGGUAAUCAAUCACAUUAGCUAUUGUAAUGGCAAAAUAUAUGCUUCUAAACAUGAAAGCAUAUGUUUCAGGUUAGAUUGAUUGGCCUAUGCUCUGCAAAUGCAGGAUGUAAAAGUUUUUUCACAUCCAAACUUAAUCUGAGUAAAAUAAAGUAAAUAUUCAACAUUAAUUUAGGCCUCAAACUAUUUUAUAUCAUGUUUUGCAGUUACAGUGUGCUAUAAUUGAUGUUCACAUGCCUCCAGUACUUACUAUUGAAGCUUCGGAAACAGAUUGCUGAAAUUGCUGCACUAAUCCAAAGAAAAGGGUUUUACCCUCCCUGGGCAGUAUAUUUAUCAAUUUUUGUCUAAUCUGAACAUCACAUAUAAGACAGCCAAAAUGAUUUUCAUACCGUUGAUAAUGUUUCAUGAUUCUUUAGGAGGGUAUUUCAUCUGCUUUUGAGGCCCUCUGGUUUCACUGAGAUUGUUUAUUUCAUUAUUGUACAUUCUUGUAUUAUUGGACAUGCUUAUUAUGAUUGUCUUAUUCUAAAUCGUGGAGUAUAAUAAUGAAGAAAAGUCUUCCUCUCUGUUUUCUAAACAUCAGAAACUAUAACUAAGUCUGGAAAACCAUGCACAUCCAAGGGCACAGUUUGCUAUUAGAAAACUUCAAGGAUUUUUUUUUUUCAAUAUUAUCUUUAGAGAUGGUGGUCAAGGUUAUGUCAGAUAUUAUCAUGCAAGUUACAUUUUCUGUAUAUAUGCACAUUUUUAGGCCACUUUCAUAUCUCCUGCUGCUGAUGAUUUCUAAUGUAUCUCUACUUUAUGGUAGAUGCUGUUUUCAUUUAAUUUAUUCUAUCUCAGCAGCAAAUUAUAGUAAUUUGAAAUUAUUUUUGUUUUAAGUUCAUCUGCAGGAAAUCAUCCCAAUUUGACAGAAAGUUUCACUAGUAUUUGCGAAGCAAAAACAGUUCUGUAGAAAAGUGUUUUAACAGAUGAUGAGAUGAACAUGGUGACUCAUAUAGUCGUAUUGCUGUUUGGAAUGAUAUCCCCAUGGUAAGAGACCAGCAGCUGAGCAAAACGUCUGCUGCCUUCUUGUGUACGUGAAGUGAUUCUGCAAACUUGACUUAUCGUGAUUACAUAUCAGUAACCUGGAAUUCGGGGAGCUUACUGAAAAACACCAUAGAGAGGACAUUUCUUGUUGAUGUUGUUCCAUUACAAUUUACACAUUGAUGUCAAUUUAUGUGAGAUGUCAGCUAGAAGCUGUUAAUGCAAUACCUUGAGGUUCUUCCUGCCUUGCUGCUGCUUCCUGACGUCGUCAACCUGUUUGUAGUAAUAUAGGAUCAAGUGUUCAACGGCAGGGGGAAAAACUGAAUGAUGCUCGGUUCCAGAUAUCAGACAAUUAAACCACCAUUUGUCUUAAAAA